rnacentral:rRNA from 1 species
GUCCACACCUAAACGAUGUCAACUAGUUGUUGGGGAUAUUAUCUCAGUAACGAAGCAAACGCGUGAAGUUGACCGCUGGGGAGUACGGCCGCAAGGUUAAAACUCAAAGGAAUUGACGGGGACCCGCACAAGCGGUGGAUGAUGUGGUUUAAUUCGAUGCUACGCGAAAAACCUUACCUACCCUUGACAUGUCAGGAAUCCUUCAGAGAUGAGGGAGUGUCGCAAGAAACCUGAACACAGGUGCUGCAUGGCUGUCGUCAGCUCGUGUCGUGAGAUGUUGGGUUAAGUCCCGCAACGAGCGCAACCCUUGUCAUUAGUUGCUACCAUUUAGUUGGGCACUCUAAUGAGACUGCCGGUGAUAAACCGGAGGAAGGUGGGGAUGACGUCAAGUCCUCAUGGCCCUUAUGGGUAGGGCUACACACGUCAUACAAUGGCCGGUACAAAGGGUUGCGAAGCCGCGAGGUGGAGCUAAUCCCAAAAAGCCGGUCGUAGUCCGGAUUGCACUCUGCAACUCGAGUGCAUGAAGUCGGAAUCGCUAGUAAUCGUGGAUCAGCAUGUCACGGUGAAUACGUUCCCGGGUCUUGUACACACCGCCCGUCACACCAUGGGAGUGGGUUUUGCCAGAAGUAGUUAGCCUAACCGCAAGGAGGGCGAUUACCACGGCAGGGUUCAUGACUGGGGUGAAGUCGUAACAAGGUAACCA